rnacentral:rRNA from 1 species
GUCUACGGCCAUACCACCCUGACCGCGCCCGAUCUCAUCUGAUCUCGGAAGCUAAGCAGGGUCGGGCCUGGUUAGUACGUGGAUGGGAGAAUGCCUUUCUAAAUUGUGAUUUAGCCU